UAUGACAGUGGAGAGUUUGAUCCUGGCUCAGGAUGAACGCUAGCGAUAGGCUUAACACAUGCAAGUCGAGGGGCAGCAUGAUCUUAGCUUGCUAAGGUUGAUGGCGACCGGCGCACGGGUGCGUAACGCGUAUGCAACUUGCCUUACAGAGGGGGAUAACCCGUUGAAAGACGGACUAAAACCGCAUACACUUGUAUUAUUGCAUGAUAUUACAAGGAAAUAUUUAUAGCUGUAAGAUAGGCAUGCGUCCCAUUAGCUGGUUGGUGAGGUAACGGCUCACCAAGGCGACGAUGGGUAGGGGAACUGAGAGGUUUAUCCCCCACACUGGUACUGAGACACGGACCAGACUCCUACGGGAGGCAGCAGUGAGGAAUAUUGGUCAAUGGGCGAGAGCCUGAACCAGCCAAGUCGCGUGAAGGAAGACAGUCCUAAGGAUUGUAAACUUCUUUUAUACGGGAAUAACGGGCGAUACGAGUAUUGCAUUGAAUGUACCGUAAGAAUAAGCAUCGGCUAACUCCGUGCCAGCAGCCGCGGUAAUACGGAGGAUGCGAGCGUUAUCCGGAUUUAUUGGGUUUAAAGGGUGCGUAGGUUGUUCGGUAAGUCAGCGGUGAAACCUGAGCGCUCAACGUUCAGCCUGCCGUUGAAACUGCCGGGCUUGAGUUCAGUGGCGGCAGGCGGAAUUCGUGGUGUAGCGGUGAAAUGCAUAGAUAUCACGAGGAACUCCGAUUGCGAAGGCAGCUUGCCAUACUGCGACUGACACUGAAGCACGAAGGCGUGGGUAUCAAACAGGAUUAGAUACCCUGGUAGUCCACGCAGUAAACGAUGAUUACUAGGAGUUUGCGAUAUACCGUCAAGCUUCCACAGCGAAAGCGUUAAGUAAUCCACCUGGGGAGUACGCCGGCAACGGUGAAACUCAAAGGAAUUGACGGGGGCCCGCACAAGCGGAGGAACAUGUGGUUUAAUUCGAUGAUACGCGAGGAACCUUACCCGGGAUUGAAAUGUAGAUGACGGAUGGUGAAAACCGUCUUCCCUUCGGGGCGUCUAUGUAGGUGCUGCAUGGUUGUCGUCAGCUCGUGCCGUGAGGUGUCGGCUUAAGUGCCAUAACGAGCGCAACCCACAUCGGUAGUUGCUAACAGUUUUCGCUGAGGACUCUACCGAGACUGCCGUCGUAAGGCGUGAGGAAGGUGUGGAUGACGUCAAAUCAGCACGGCCCUUACAUCCGGGGCGACACACGUGUUACAAUGGGAGGGACAAAGGGCAGCUACCGGGCGACCGGAUGCGAAUCUCUAAACCCUUCCCCAGUUCGGAUCGGAGUCUGCAACUCGACUCCGUGAAGCUGGAUUCGCUAGUAAUCGCGCAUCAGCCAUGGCGCGGUGAAUACGUUCCCGGGCCUUGUACACACCGCCCGUCAAGCCAUGGGAGUCGGGGGUACCUGAAGGGCGUAACCGCAAGGGGCGCACUAGGGUAAUACCGGUGACUGGGGCUAAGUCGUAACAAGGUAGCCGUACCGGAAGGUGCGGCUGGAACACCUCCUUUCUGGAG
rnacentral:rRNA from 1 species